AUUUUAUCUAAAGAGAGAGGCUGAAGCAUUCCUUAAACCACAGAAGAAAACAGUGAAAGUACAAAAUGACAACAGCCGUCUUCAAAUACUGCUUGUCAGAGGGACAAGAGAGAACAGAGGUGCUGUGCUGCUCCACAAGGCAAAACAAGAGCAAACAAGUCUGUCUGAGUUUCAAGAGGCUGGCCCUGAGGCUGCACUGUGGCAGUCUAGGUGAGGAUACAACUAGAAGCCAGCAGUCUACAGGCUGGAAGAAGGCCCUCACCAGAACCCAACCCUUGGACUUCAGCCUCCAGAACUGUGAGAAAUACAUACCUGCUGUUUGUAAGACACCAGUCUAUGGAAUUCUGUUACAGUAGCCUGAACUCAGACAUAGCCCUUUUCCAUUUAUAAGAUUCAUUCAGCUUUUCCAGACCAGGCAUCACCGAGCGGAGAGAGGGGAAACACCCUGGCU
ensembl:lncRNA CASTOR3P CASTOR family member 3, pseudogene